rnacentral:rRNA from 1 species
UACGUAGGUGACAAGCGUUGUCCGGAUUUACUGGGCGUAAAGCGCGCGUAGGCGGCUUCGCAAGUCGGGUGUGAAAUCCCCAGCUCAACUUGGGAACUGCAUUCGAGACUGCGUUGCUAGAGUAUGGGAGAGGGAAGUGGAAUUUCAGGUGUAGCGGUGAAAUGCGUAGAUAUCUGAAGGAACAUCAGUGGCGAAAGCGACUUCCUGGACCAAUACUGACGCUCAUGUGCGAAAGCGUGGGGAGCAAACAGG